rnacentral:lncRNA from 10 species
UUGUCUUGGGAUCUUCAUUCCAGCUUAUUGCAACAUAUUUGUAUUCUGGUUUUAUUAUUCAGUCUUUCCUAAUUUUGUGUCAUGUGCAAAACUUGAUAAAUGUGCUUUAUCUUUAUCCAAGUGAUUGAUGAAAACGUUAUCCAAACAGAUGCAAAGACAGAGCCCUGUGGCACAUCACUAGAGACUUCCAUCUAGUAAAGGAUCUCUUCUUGAAUGUUUCAGUUAUGACUCCAUCUAACUCUAUUAUCAUGAUCUCUGCUUUUUUCCAUUGUUCAUAAGAUAUCAUGCUGGUCAGGCGCAGUGGCUUAUGCCUGUAAUCCCAGCACUUUGGGAGGCCAAGGCAGGCGGAUCACCUGAGGUCAGGAGUUCGAGACCAGCCUGACCAAUAUGGAAAAAAACCCCGUCUCUACUAGAAAUACAGAAUUAGCCGGGCGUGGUGGCGCAUGCCUGUAAUCCCAGCUCCUCGGGAGGCUGAGGCAGGAGAAUCGCUUGAACCCAGGAGGCAGAGGUUGCGGUAAGCCGAGAUCGCACCAGUGCACUCCAGCCUGGGAAACAAGGGCGAAACUCCAUCUCAAAAAAAAAAAGAAAAAGAAAAGAAAUCAUGCUAAAAAUUGGCACGUGCUUUUUCUCUUUCAAUUCCUGGUGGGGGAAAAAAAAAAGUUGGCCUGGAAGCAUUUCUUCUUAGAAAGAGAAAGGUGGUAGUCAGGAAACAUGGUGCUAGCCCCUACAAUCACGUCCCAGAGCUCACAGCAUGGCUACAUGGGCUUGUCAGAGGAGUUUUCUGAGUUGAGUUGAUACAAACCCAGCAGGAUUGACAGAUCAUCACAUGGAAGGGGGUUGCACUAGAAGCAACUGGAACCAGGCAAUUUGGUGUGGCAUAUGCCGCAACUAAAUUUCACUAACAUGUCAUUUCUUUUCUGCUGAAGACCACGAUUGGAUUGGACUUGGAUUGAAUCACUGGGCUCGGGACAAACAUCUUGGCUGAGUCAUUACAAACACAAGUUGUCUGCACGGAUCUCCAAGGACUACCUCUGCACCUGCUCUCAGAAGCUGCACGGGGAGGGAGGGCUCUUCCAGGUGUGGCACUUACUCCCUGAAGGGAGCCAGAAUUCCAUGCAAAGAGAAAGAAGGGGGAUGGGUGUGGGUUUUUGGCUCACUAUGGGCCUCAGGGAAGUUGAAGGAAUCAAUAACACAAACAAGUGAAUAGGAAUUCACUGUUGGUUGGGGGCAUGGUGGCUCACACCUGCAAUCCCAACACUUUGAGAGGCCACAGUGGGAGGAUUGCUUGAGCCCAGGAGUUCAAGACCAGCCUGGGCAAUAUAGUGAGACCCCAUCUCUACAAAAAAAAAAAUUUCAAAAAUUAGCCAAGCGUGGUGGCGCACGCCUCUAGUCCCAGCUACUUAGGAGGCAGAGUGGGAGGAUCGCUUGAGCUCAGGAAAUGCAGGUUGCAGUGAGCUGAGAUCACAGCACUACACUCCAGCCUAGGCGACAAAGCAAGACCCUGUCUUAAAAAUAAUAAUAAAAAUAAAGAAUUAACUGUUUACUGGAUCCUGAGCUUUCUUGUAAGAGUGGCUGAAUCUGGUCAAUUCUGAGAUGAGUCAAAAGAUGAAUGGAAAAUAAAAUCUCAGGCUGGGCAUGGUGGCUCAUGCUUGCAAUUCCAGCACUUUGGGAGGCGGAGGGAGGAGGAUCACUUGAGCCCAGGAGUACAAGACCAGCCUGGGCAACAUAGGGAGACCCUGCCUCUACAAUUUUUUUUUAAUUAACCAUGUGUGGUGGUGUGCACCUGUGGUCCCAGCCAGUACUCAGAAGGCCGAGGCAAGAGGACCACCUGAGCCCAGGAUGUCGAGACUACAGUGAGCCGUGAUCGCACCACUGCACUCCAGGCUGAGUGACAGAGAAAGACCCUAUCCCAAAAGAAAAAAAAAUUACUUUUAAAAUUUUUUAAAUUUUUUUUUUAGAAAAAGAAAAUCUCAGUAAAGGGGAGCAUGUAAGAACCGGUUGAAACCUUGAAUACAUUAUGAUAUGAAACCAAGUAUAUCAAAAGAUGGUGCUUGAAAACAACAAAUUUUACCACCUGACUCAGACUUCUUUGUCGUUGUUUUAUUUAAAAUGUUAUUGUCUCUGAUUAGAAAAUACAGUCAUGAGGGAAGGAAGCUCAGAAUGAGUGCACGG